rnacentral:rRNA from 1 species
UAGUAAUCGUGGAUCAGCAUGCCACGGUGAAUACGUUCCCGGGUCUUGUACACACCGCCCGUCACACCAUGGGAGCCGGUAAUACCCGAAGUCAGUAGUCUAACCGCAAGGAGGACGCAGUCGAAGGUGGGAUUGAUGACUGGGGUGAAGUCGUAACAAGGUAGC